rnacentral:rRNA from 1 species
GACGAACGCUGGCGGCGUGCUUAACACAUGCAAGUCGAACGGAAAGGCCCUGCUUUUGUGGGGUGCUCGAGUGGCGAACGGGUGAGUAACACGUGAGUAACCUGCCCUUGACUUUGGGAUAACUUCAGGAAAAUGGGGCUAAUACCGGAUAGGAGCUCCUGCUGCAUGGGGGGGGUUGGAAAGUUUCGGCGGUUGGGGAUGGACUCGCGGCGUAUCAGCUGGUUGGUGGGGUUGUGGCUUACCAAGGCUUUGACGGGUAGCCGGCCUUAGAGGGUGACCGGCCACAUUGGGACUGAGAUACGGCCCCGACUCCUACGGGAGGCAGCAGUGGGGAAUAUUGCACAAUGGGCGGAAGCCUGAUGCAGCAACUCCGCGUGCGGGAUGACGGCCUUCGGGUUGUAAACCGCUUUCGCAUGUGACGAAGCGUGAGUGACGGUAAUGGGUAAAGAAGCACCGGCUAACUACGUG